rnacentral:rRNA from 1 species
GACGAACGCUGGCGGCGUGCUUAACACAUGCAAGUCGAACGGAAAGGCCCUGCUUUUGUGGGGUGCUCGAGUGGCGAACGGGUGAGUAACACGUGAGUAACCUGCCCUUGACUUUGGGAUAACUUCAGGAAACUGGGGCUAAUACCGGAUAGGAGCUCCUGCUGCAUGGUGGGGGUUGGAAAGUUUCGGCGGUUGGGGAUGGACUCGCGGCUUAUCCGCUUGUUGGUGGGGUAGUGGCUUACCAAGGCUUUGACGGGUAGCCGGCCUGAGAGGGUGACCGGCCACAUUGGGACUGAGAGACGGCCCAGACUCCUACGGGAGGCAGCAGUGGGGAAUAUUGCACAAUGGGCGGAAGCCUGAUGCAGCAACGCCGCGUGCGGGAUGACGGCCUUCGGGUUGUAAACCGCUUUCGCCUGUGACGAAGCGUGAGUGACGGUAAUGGGUAAAGAAGCACCGGCUAACUACGUG